NNNCCGGUGGUGUAAGGCGAACAUCGCUGCCCGGAAAGCAGAAGAUGCGGGUUCGAGUCCCGCCUGGCGUA
rnacentral:tRNA from 1 species